GAUGAACGCUGGCGGCGUGCUUAACACAUGCAAGUCGAACGGUGAAGGCGGAGCUUGCUCUGCUGGAUCAGUGGCGAACGGGUGAGUAACACGUGAGCAAUCUGCCCCUGACUCUGGGAUAAGCGCUGGAAACGGCGUCUAAUACUGGAUACGAGCUGCGAAGGCAUCUUCAGCAGCUGGAAAGAACUUCGGUCAGGGAUGAGCUCGCGGCCUAUCAGCUUGUUGGUGAGGUAACGGCUCACCAAGGCGUCGACGGGUAGCCGGCCUGAGAGGGUGACCGGCCACACUGGGACUGAGACACGGCCCAGACUCCUACGGGAGGCAGCAGUGGGGAAUAUUGCACAAUGGGCGAAAGCCUGAUGCAGCAACGCCGCGUGAGGGACGACAGCCUUCGGGUUGUAAACCUCUUUUAGCAGGGAAGAAGCGAAAGUGACGGUACCUGCAGAAAAAGCGCCGGCUAACUACGUG
rnacentral:rRNA from 1 species